rnacentral:rRNA from 1 species
AGUGAACGCUGGCGGCAGGCCUAACACAUGCAAGUCGAACGGCAGCACAAGAGAGCUUGCUCUCUGGGUGGCGAGUGGCGGACGGGUGAGGAAUGCAUCGGAAUCUGCCCAUUUGUGGGGGAUAACCUCGGGAAACCGGGACUAAUACCGCAUACGACCUACGGGUGAAAGCAGGGGAUCUUCGGACCUUGCGCAGAUGGAUGAGCCGAUGCCGGAUUAGCUAGUUGGAGGGGUAAAGGCCCACCAAGGCGACGAUCCGUAGCUGGUCUGAGAGGAUGAUAAGCCACACUGGGACUGAGACACGGCCCAGACUCCUACGGGAGGCAGCAGUGGGGAAUAUUGGACAAUGGGCGCAAGCCUGAUCCAGCCAUGCCGCGUGUGUGAAGAAGGCCUUCGGGUUGUAAAGCACUUUUGUUGGGAAAGAAAAGCAGCCGGUUAAUACCCGGUUGUCAUGACGGUACCCAAAGAAUAAGCACCGGCUAACUUCGUG